rnacentral:sRNA from 1 species
GUGACACACACAAACACACACAUCUUGAAUCCUCCAACCACACCCCAUCCCACAUUAAAUAAUAAUAAGUAAAAAAACGAAGUAGGACACUGAGGACUCACGUCCUCUGUUUCAAGCAUGAAGCUGGAGGUCGUUUGAAAUGUGCUGUGACAACAGAGCACUGAUUGGGACAAGACCUUUAACAUAAGCUGAACACCACAAUCACCUUCUUUGUUCGUGACAUGAAGUUGGACUUACAGAUAACCAGGGCCAUGGAAAUGCCCUGGGACAUACUAUCUGAACAAUUAGAAUCUGUCACCACACAAUGGCCCAUCGGUUUAAGAGCUGUGGUGGCUACUGCUAGGGUAAUGAAAAAAGCCAAACAAAUUAACUCUGGUCAAAAUCUUAUACCCACAGCACCCAUGGCAUAGUUGUGGCCCCCCUCUACAGAGCACUGAAACACUGGCUAUCUGAUAACCUGUGAACCAGCACCAUGCCCUAUGCCUGGCCCACUUCAAGUCCUAUUUGAGGAAGCCACUGCUAUCGAUCAAAUCAGCUACCUUCUUUCUGAGGACACAGAGCUCAGUCAUGAGUGGAAACUAGGAACAGUGAGCUGCAGGAGUUACUUCAACCAAGAGGACUUGGGCCCAAGCCAGGUGCCUAUGGAGGUCAGAGUUGGGUGUCAGAUCUCUCAGAACUGGAGUUGCAGGCAUCGGGAGCCACUGGGCAUAAGUGCUGGUAACUGACCUCAGGUUGUCUGGAAGAGCAGCAAGCAUUUUUAACCGCUGAGCCCUCUCCUGCCCUCUAUUUCCCUCCUUCGUAUUCCUCCCUCUUCCAGGUCUGCUUUCCUCUGGGUGUGUCCUCAUUAGUUUAACUAAGGUGGCUCUCAAGUACACGGCAAGUUACCAGUAACCACAGCACUGAGGGAAACGUCUUCCUCUUUCUACAGGAACCACUAACAGUCGGUAGAUUUAGUAGGGAAAAGGCCUUCUGAGAUGCUCCAUAGUAAUCCCUGUUUUGUUGGGUUCCCCUUUUUAGGUCACUUUUGAGACGGAUCUAACUGCACUAUUGGCCUGGAGCUUGUUUUGUAUGCCAUCCUAGGAAUGGAGUAGCUGUAGAAGUAGGAGGAAUGAAAGCCCCCGGUUCACUCUCCAAGAUUAAAGAAGUUAACCGAUCUACCCAUGGGAGAAGUGUCUUCUUUGUACCAUCGAGGACCACCAGCUGAAGAGUGGCACUGAUUCCACUGAAUUCUGUUCUUCCACAUCAUUCAUCAAUCAGAAAAGUGGCCCAGAAGCUUGCCCUCAAACUAAUUGGUGGAGAAAUUUUCUCAAUUGUGGUUUCUUCUGUUAAGUUGACAUAAAGCUAGCCAGUACAAUUGAACCCUUGUCAGUUCAACACACAAACAUAUAACUGUUAUGCCAUAACUAUUUCUUUCUUGUUCAUCUCCAAGAAUAUUACAAUAUAAAACAUACAUAAAAUUAAAGGAUCUACAGUCUUUAUAAGUUUAGUCUCUAUAAAUCAUCCGAAGUCCCUUUCAAUUUCUAAAGCCUCUCAAAAUAUCCAGAGUCUCUCUAAAAUUUCAAAGUACUUUUUAUAAGAACAACAUUUAAUGGGAGCUCUUUACAGGUUCAGAGGUUUAG